rnacentral:rRNA from 2 species
ACUCCUACGGGAGGCAGCAGUGGGGAAUAUUGCACAAUGGGCGCAAGCCUGAUGCAGCCAUGCCGCGUGUAUGAAGAAGGCCUUCGGGUUGUAAAGUACUUUCAGCGAGGAGGAAGGCAUUGUGGUUAAUAACCGCAGUGAUUGACGUUACUCGCAGAAGAAGCACCGGCUAACUCCGUGCCAGCAGCCGCGGUAAU